GGGAUGGUAGCUCAGUGGUAGAGUGCUUGCCUUGCAUGCAUGAGGCCCUGGGUUUGAUUCCUCAGCACCA
rnacentral:tRNA from 1 species